UCGGUGUGCGGCAGGUGUAGCCCAGGACACACCCACGAGGCAAACUGCUGUCAGGCAGAAAGAGCAGCCUGUCAGUCUUCACAGAGCACCGCAGAGGGAGCACUAACAGCUUCCAGAGUUCCAGAGAAACAGAGAGGACUUCCCUGCUUCUCCAGACAAACUACGAGAGCUGAUAGAAGAUCACGUCCUAAAAUCACGCUUCACUGAGGAGCUACAGGGUUUGGCGUGUGAGGAGAACACAGAGAGAGGAGGACUGUGGAGGUUUGCUGUUCUGAGUGGAGAUCUGACCUUUCACCUCCAGCAGCUGCAGAGACAGACAGAGCAGGAGCUCAGAAACAUCCA